rnacentral:sRNA from 1 species
UUUUUUUUUGGUUUUUU